UGUGAUCCUACCUCUGAGUAAAGAAAUAACAACACAUAUUUUAUAUAUGUAAAAACAUUUUAAAGCAGAUAGUUCAAGAUUUGAUAGUGAACUUCAGGUCUAUUAGUCUAUAUAAUCUAUAUAUAAAUAGGUGUGUUGUAGAAAAUUCUUUGAAGUUUUAUUCGUACCGUGGUGAAACACAAGACACAAUUAUCGAUGGCCAUACAGACAAUAUUUGGAAUCAGUUUGAAAAUAUAUAUAGAAAUCUCGGAUUAUUUGCUGCAAAUAUUCACCUAAUUCGUUUGAAAAUUUACCAAUGUAAGGAAGCUAGCAAUGAAAUUUUAGAAUGCUUCACAUAAUAUACGAUAUAUUCAAAAAAUGUUUUCGUAAGUGUUCAAAUAUUUUCGUGAACCACUGUAUGUGUACACUUUGGUUGACUUGUUUUAAUAAUGACACGAAUGUUACUAAAAUGUAUGAAUUAAUGGCGAAGUACGGAUCGAAAGCAACAUUUAUCAUUGCUUGUGGAAUCAAUAGACAAAUACCAUCUAACAUACAAAUUAUUUAUUCAAAACCUGAUUAAUGGUGUAUUAAAACAAAAUAGAUAAUUCGUCAAAGUGCUAACCAAUUUCAAAUAACAUUACUGGAAUUAAUUAUGAUAGCUCUUCUACCAAUUUAGAAGAAAUUUCUCUAUUUUGUUUAUGACUUGACAAUUAAACGAUUGAACUAAAGGAGUUUGGCAUACGA